rnacentral:misc_RNA from 1 species
GAUGAAGAACGCAGCGAAAUGCGAUAAGUAAUGUGAAUUGCAGAAUUCAGUGAAUCAUCGAAUCUUUGAACGCACCUUGCGCCCUUUGGCUAUUCCGAAGGGCAUGCCUGUUUGAGUAUCAUGAAAACCUCAACUCUCAUGGCUUGCCAUGAUGAGCUUGGACUCUGGGGGUCUUGCUGGCUUUACGGUCAGCUCCUCUCAAAUAAAUCAGCUUGCCGGUGUUUGGUGGGAUCACAGGUGUGAUAACUAUCUACGCUUGUGGUUUUCCGCCAGGUAACCUUCAGCAAUGGAGGUUCGCUGGAGCUCAUAAAUGUCUCUCCUCAGCGAGGACAGAUUUUGACCGUUUGAUCUCAAAUCAGGUAGGACUACCCGCUGAACUUAAGCAUAUCAAUAAGCGGAGGU